rnacentral:lncRNA from 1 species
GACAUCAACUUUAUUCCUAGCCAGAAAGUUUUUCAGUUCUUUCUGUUUAUGGGCUUUAUUAAGCCCCCUAAUGUUCCAGGUGACUAUAAUCAUGGAUCAUUAGGCAGCAAGCUCCUAGAAGGACCAGGAUCCAGCUGUUGUCCCCUCCUACCAUCAUCAAGAAAAUCAGCAACAGCCUUGCCCUUGUCAUGGUCAACCAAAAUCUCUGUAUCACCACUAGCAGUACUUUCCUGAUUGGCAGGGUCAUCUAAUACAUUCCUCUGACUUGCAAUCAUAUCAGUGUUAAUCUGCACCCUCUACAUCUUCUCCUCAUGUUGGACAGAUUGUACAGGCAGGCUAGGCAAUGUAUUUGCAGGCAUUGUUAAGCUUACUAGUGUAUCUGCAUUAGCUUUAGGCAUCCAUUCCUGCUUUGUAGUCUUUUCUGUUUUUUAGCUCUAGUCCUUUGCCUUAAUUUCCUCCCUUGCUCUUGCAUCUCCUGUACCCCAUCAUUAUGUCCAUUAUACCAACAGUCAAGAGAGUCAUGGCCAAAUUUCAAGUAGUGAUUGCAAAAUAUAGGUUUCCAAUCUUACUCAAUCACCUGUAUCUUCAGGCAAAAAGGAGUUUCAAUUUCAAUUUCCUCAGGCAGAGGAUAAGCAGCAUCUACUUCAACCAGUACUCUAGCAAAUGAGAUCUUCUCAAAAUGAG